ensembl:lncRNA
GUUCAAAAACGUGCCACCCCACAAUGAACAGUCUCAUUUUACUGACCAUGCUGUGGCUCAUUCCCUCUGGAGCUCUCUGUCACCGCAAUAAACCCUGGAGCUCCUCUGGCAGUGAUGAGAGGAUAUAUGGGCACUAUUUUCCUGGAGGUCACGACUACUAUGUGAAGCCUGGACCUCUGUUUCCCUUUCUAUGGUCCCUCCUGCCUCGUCCAGUCCCAGCCCCAGCCCCAGCCCCAGCCCCGGCACCUUCCCCUGCCCUGACUCCGGUCCCGGCUCCUUCCCCCGCCCUGACUCCGGCCCCAGCAGCCACAGCCUCACCCAGACCCCCAGUCAUCAGCACAACUGUCCGAGGAGAUGGCUGACCAUUGAGCAGAAGUCGUUUUGUAGCUGAACAACGACCAAAUGAUUUACUUAAAGUACCUUUGAGAUUUUAUGUAAUGCUUUCAAUAAACAUAAUGAAUUAAACA